CACAAAACCCUGGAGUUUCCGGCUGGUGCCUGAAGUGAGGAGGAUCUUGUGAGGGACCCAACCCUCAACCUGAGAAGUCUGUGCUCAAAGUCUGAAUAAAGUCAGAAUUGUAUUGAAGUGUUUAAGAUAAAUAAGGAGCAGAAAAAAGGCAAAAUUGUGUUUGGAAAACAUCAAGAGGGAAGACCACAUUUGGGGGACUACAGGAACCAAAAUACGGAGUUUGAAUGUUUUUCCUAAGCACAAUGGAACCUGUGGAAGAUUUUUAGCAGAUCCACAGAGCUUGCUGGGUUCAAUAAGGAAGAAAGGU
rnacentral:lncRNA from 10 species